UGCCAGCAGCCGCGGUAACACGAACUGCGCAAACGUUAUUCGGAAUCACUGGGCUUAAAGAGUUCGUAGGCGGCCUAGUAGGUCAGGCGUGAAAGCCCUCGGCUCAACCGAGGAAUUGCGUUUGAUACUACUUUGCUAGAGUCUCGGAGAGGUUGGCGGAAUUCCAGGUGUAGGAGUGAAAUCCGUAGAUAUCUGGAGGAACACCAGUGGCGAAGGCGGCCAACUGGACGAGUACUGACACUGAGGUACGAAAGCGUGGGUAGCAAACAGGAUUAGAUA
rnacentral:rRNA from 1 species